AUAGCGUAUACUAAAGUUGUUGCAGUUAAAAAGCUCGUAGUUGAAUUUCUGGUCUUGGAUCUCGGUCUGCCUCAAACGAGGUAUGUACCAGGGAUCUGAGACCAUCCUCGAGGAAAACAUGUCUGUCAUUAAGUUAAUGGGCAUGGGAUCCUCGUCAUUUACUGUGAGCAAAAUAGGGUGUUCAAAGCAGGCUUAUGCCGUUGAAUACAUUAGCAUGGAAUAAUAAGAUAAGACCUUGGUCUAUUUUGUUGGUUUGUACUCCAAGGUAAUGAUUAAUAGGGAUAGUUGGGGGUAUUCGUAUUCAAUUGUCAGAGGUGAAAUUCUUGGAUUUAUGGAAGACGAACUACUG
rnacentral:rRNA from 1 species